rnacentral:rRNA from 1 species
CGGACGGGUGAGUAACGCGUGAGAAUCUAACUUCAGGACGGGGACAACAGUUGGAAACGACUGCUAAUACCCGAUAUGCCGCAAGGUGAAACCUAAUUGGCCUGAAGAAGAGCUUGCGUCUGAUUAGCUAGUUGGUGGGGUAAAGGCCUACCAAGGCGACGAUCAGUAGCUGGUCUGAGAGGAUGAGCAGCCACACUGGGACUGAGACACGGCCCAGACUCCUACGGGAGGCAGCAGUGGGGAAUUUUCCGCAAUGGGCGAAAGCCUGACGGAGCAACGCCGCGUGAGGGAGGAAGGUCUUUGGAUUGUAAACCUCUUUUCUCAAGGAAGAAGUUCUGACGGUACUUGAGGAAUCAGCCUCGGCUAACUCCGUGCCAGCAGCCGCGGUAAUACGGGGGAGGCAAGCGUUAUCCGGAAUUAUUGGGCGUAAAGCGUCCGCAGGUGGUCAGCCAAGUCUGCCGUCAAAUCAGGUUGCUUAACGACCUAAAGGCGGUGGAAACUGGCAGACUAGAGAGCAGUAGGGGUAGCAGGAAUUCCCAGUGUAGCGGUGAAAUGCGUAGAGAUUGGGAAGAACAUCGGUGGCGAAAGCGUGCUACUGGGCUGUAUCUGACACUCAGGGACGAAAGCUAGGGGA